rnacentral:rRNA from 1 species
UACAGAGGUCUCAAGCGUUGUUCGGAUUCAUUGGGCGUAAAGAGCUCGUAGGCGGCUUGUUGCGUCGGCUGUGAAAUCUCGUGGCUUAACUGCGGGUCUGCAGCUGAUACGGGCGGGCUGGAGUUCGGUAGGGGAGACUGGAAUUCCUGGUGUAGCGGUGAAAUGCGCAGAUAUCAGGAGGAACACCGGUGGCGAAGGCGGGUCUCUGGGCCGAUACUGACGCUGAGGAGCGAAAGCGUGGGGAGCGAACAGG